UACGUAGGGCGCAAGCGUUGUCCGGAAUUAUUGGGCGUAAAGAGCUCGUAGGCGGUUUGUCGCGUCUGCUGUGAAAACCUAAGGCUCAACCUUGGGCUUGCAGUGGGUACGGGCAGACUAGAGUGCGGUAGGGGUGACUGGAAUUCCCGGUGUAGCGGUGAAAUGCGCAGAUAUCGGGAGGAACACCCGUAGCGAAGGCGGCACUCUGGGCCGGUACUGACGCUGAGGAGCGAAAGCGUGGGGAGCAAACAGG
rnacentral:rRNA from 1 species